GUCUCGGGAUGGAAGCGUAACUAGUGGCGGACGGGUGAGUAACGCGUGAGUAACCUGCCUCUCAGAGGGGGAUAAACGUUCGGAAACGAACGCUAAUACCGCAUCGACAUAGUGAUACCGCAUGGUAAUGCUAUCAAAGGAGCAAUCCGACUGAGAGAUGGGACUCGCGUCUGAUUAGAUAGUUGGUGAGGUAACGGCUCACCAAGUCGACGAUCAGUAGCCGGACUGAGAGGUUGAACGGCCACAUUGGGACUGAGACACGGCCCAGACUCCUACGGGAGGCAGCAGUGAGGGAUAUUGCACAAUGGGCGCAAGCCUGAAUGCAGCAACGCCGCGUGAGGGAAGACGGUCUUCGGUAUUGUAAACCUUUGUCUUUGGUGAAGAAGAAAGUGACGGUAGCCGAGGAGGAAGCCACGGCUAACUACGUGCCAGCCGCUGC
rnacentral:rRNA from 1 species